rnacentral:rRNA from 1 species
GACGAACGCUGGCGGCGUGCUUAACACAUGCAAGUCGAACGGUGAAGCUCCAGCUUGCUGGAGUGGAUCAGUGGCGAACGGGUGAGUAACACGUGAGUAACCUGCCCCUGACUCUGGAAUAAGCGCUGGAAACGGCGUCUAAUACUGGAUACGAGAAGGGUCCGCAUGGGCACUUUCUGGAAAGUUUUUCGGUUGGGGAUGGGCUCGCGGCCUAUCAGCUUGUUGGUGAGGUAAUGGCUCACCAAGGCGACGACGGGUAGCCGGCCUGAGAGGGCGACCGGCCACACUGGGACUGAGACACGGCCCAGACUCCUACGGGAGGCAGCAGUGGGGAAUAUUGCACAAUGGGCGGAAGCCUGAUGCAGCAACGCCGCGUGAGGGAUGACGGCCUUCGGGUUGUAAACCUCUUUCAGCAGUGAAGAAGCGAAAGUGACGGUACCUGCAAAAGAAGCACCGGCUAACUACGUG